rnacentral:lncRNA from 1 species
UGUGUGUAUCCCAGGAGAAUUAUUGUUAGAAAAGUAGAUGAUAGUUAGUACAAGAUCAUAUUUGCAUUGGUUUACUCUGUUAUUUCUAUGACAGAAUAACUAAGAUUGUGUCAUUUAUAGGAGCAGAGAUUUGUUUUCUUCAGUUCUGAAUUCUGGGAAACCUAGAGUCAGUGGGGGCAGAAUCUGGUAAGGCCUUCCGUUGUGUUUUCCUGUGUAGAAGGCAAAACAAGAGAGCAUACAUGAGAGAGGAUGAAGGGGGAAGGAAAAGGCAAGGGAGAGAAGAAAGGAGGAGAGGAAACAGAAGAGGGAGAGAGAUUCAUUCUUCAGUCAAGAACUUAGUCCAGUGAUAGCGAAUCCACUCCUGAGUAACUCCUAAGAGUGGAGCUCUCAUAACCUAACCACACUUCAAAGACAUAUCACUCAGUGCUUUUGCACUGGGGGUUAAUUUCCCAGCUGAUGGAUUCUGGGGGCAUGUUCAAACCACAGCAGCGUGAAGAGCUUAGAGGUGAAACAGGGUACCCCAGGAACACUGAGAUGUAUACUUUAAUGCACUUUUGAAGGACAUUUUGUAGCCUCCAUACUCACUCUGUGCUUUCUGGACAUCACUUAGGAAUUCGCAAGUGACGCACAGCCUCAGGCCUCACUCUGUAUCCACUGAAACAGAAUCUGCUUUUAAACAAGAUCCCCGAUGACAGCCGAAGUUUAGGACGUAGGUGGUUUUAGUUGAAAAGAAUAACAAAACCAUUAAAGCUAUUUAGAACUCAUAAUACAAUUUCUAGGCCAAUGAAUAAAAGUAUUAUAAAGCAUUUAUUAUGUGAUAAUGCAGCCUGGAGGUAAGGUAGAUCAACUCCCAGCCAGUCAUGUGUUUGUUGAGUCUCUGUAAUCUCAAAUCAGACAUAAUGCCUCUAAUGAAUCUAAUCCACCUUGUAUGGUUCCUAGCAAUUGUGCCUGGCUCAUAAAACUACACACAGCUCUGGGAAGCAGUCUGUUUGUGAGAAAAGCCUAUAUUAUAUAAAAAUUAAGUCCUUUAUCUUUAAUAAACCUGAGGCACAAUAACGUUCAUUAUGUUCCAACUCAAUGAAGGAGAAAGCCACAAGGAGACACAUGAUGGGCUUGACACUGGGAAAUGUAUUUAAAGUAGUGUGACUGUGGCAACGUGUAUUAGAAGCAGCCAAUUAGGACGAAGCCAAUGAACACAGAAAGAUAUACACAUCUUAUUACUUGUGAAUUUCCAUCACACAUGCCGUUAUUUCUUCUGCUGUAAUUAUACUAUGAAAUAUCUCCCAAAACGUUUGGGAUUUGAAAUAUGCUUGUGACUAGGACUGUUUUAUGGGUGAUAUGCACUGUGGUAGGGGAGCUAAAUCAUACAGGGCUGGAGCUGCCUGUUAGAUGUUAAUGGGGUUCUCAGCAUGCUGAAGGACAUUUGUUUAUGUAACGUUAUUGAUGUAUCAUUUCUGAGUUGACCAAUAACUGGUACUGAGAAAAUUAACUUAUGGGAUUAUGCAAGUACUGUACAGUUGGCUCAGGUGUCUGUAUGCUAAAGCUUUUGAAAUAGAGCUCAUCUGAGUGUGCGUGAGCAGCACGCCCAAGGUUCUGACUUUAGACUAAUUCAGUCAGUCAGGCUUCAGAGUCCAGCUCUGCAGCAAGUAGGCAUCGUGAGGCAAAUGAGAUCCUUUGCUCUGGAGUUUCAUCCUUUGUCCUGCAGAAGAUGACUUGGCAUAGUAGGCAUCAAGCCGGUCCAGGUCAACUCAGUCAGAGGUGCUUGUUCGAAGCAGACCCAGUAAAGUGAGUCAGUCUUCUUCUGAAGUAAAAGACCCACCAAAGCGCAGGAAGACCUUAGAGAUGAGGCAGAUUGCUCAUUUGAGGAAGCGAUUCUUGUCGUUUAGGAGGGUAACCUGGAAAGGCAGAAGUGCCCAUGCGAUGUGACGCUGAGGACAAGGAUGACGAUCGGUUCAGCUGCAGCCUUGGGUGGUGGGUGACUGGUGCGCAGCCUCCAUUGCUGCCCCACCCUCAGCCCCCAGUGUUGCUGGGACUUGAAGUCAUGGAUGCGCACUGGCUUCAUCUGGUAGGGAUAAGGCGGUUAACAGAGAAGAAGGUGUGGUGUCUUAUUAACAGAUCCCUCAGCUGAACGAAAACCCAGGAUCUGAAAAUAAAUAGCAAACAAGAAAGCAGCGACAUUGCUUUAUUGCUCAACUGUCUGCGAACUAAGAAUGACAGUAUUUAAAUCUGUUCACCAAUAUAACACUUAUGAAAAACAUACAUAAAAUAUCUCACUUCAAAUCAAUUCAUAUGUUUUAAAGCUGCUUUCUUCAAAGUUCUACUUAAAAAAAUCUAGCCAUUUUGAAAGUUGCUUAUAUAUCACAAUUUUUGUUAUGUCUCUUGAAAAAUUUGCUCUUUACAAAGAAAUUGUAUAUGAAAUAUUUCUCUAAAAGUAUUUGAAAUGUGUAUUUUAAUGGUCACUGUGGAAAAAUAACCAUAAAUCAGCUUGUCUUAGCACCUCAUGUCUCAAGUUGUGGGUGUUGCUACAGAGUAUGUGGUGCAUGUUGUGUUUGUGUGUAUGUGUGUUCAUGUCUCUGUGUGUACAGUUGCACAGGGGUGAACACUAGAGUUCAGGUCUGUCUGAUUCGAUAGCCACUAGACACCCUACAACAAUGGGGGAUUUGUGGUGCAACUAAUUCAGCGAGAAAGACAUGAGAAGCACACACCAGCUUUUAAAGAGUCCGUAGAACACAAAGAAUACAAAAUACCAUAAUAAUAAUUUUAUGUCGGUCACGUCAAAUGGCAAAAUAUUGGAUCUAUUGUAUUAAAUAAAAUACAUUCCAGAAACUGAUCUCUCCUGCCUCUUCAUGUACCAAUUAAAAGCAUGGCUACCUAAAAAGUGUAAAAUUUCACAGAUACUUUACAGUUUGGGUCACAUUAAGAGAUACAGGACUAUAACACUCUAAAUCUUCUUAGCCAAUAAAGAGAAUUAUAGCUUACCACCCCCCCCUACACACUCAUAUAUAAAUUCUUCUUUUCCCUUUGAGACAAAGUCUUGUGCAACUCAGCCUUAUGUGGAACUCAUUGUUCCCCUUGCUCUUCCUUUUAGCUUCCAGGAUUAUAGGCAUGUACUACCAUAUUAGCUGGAAAAUUCUUUUGAAAAGAAAUUUGGGUGCUGGAAAGAUGGCUCAUUAGCUACAGCUAUUUGUUGCUCUUCCAGAGUACCUGAGUUUAGUUUUGAGAAUUCCCAGUGGUUAAGUCACAACCAUCUGUAACUCUAGACUAAGUAGAUAUGACACCCUAUUCUGGCCUCAGGUACUCACACACAUUUGAGAUAUGUAUAUGUUUGUAUGUAUGUAUGUAUGUAUGUAUGUAUGUAUGUAUGUAUGAAUGUGUGAAUGUAUAUAUCCAUCUAUCUACCUACCUAUCUGCACAUGGAGACUGACAGAAUUGGCUCACUAGCUUACAGAGUCUGAGAGGUCCCACAAAAUGCCAUCUGAAACUUUGGGAACCAGCAAAUCUGGUAGUGUAAUUUGUGGUGAACCCACAGUCCCAAGAAUCAGAGGGACUAAUGCUGUAAGGGGCUAAAGGCCUGAGAAUCUGGAAUGGUGACAGUAAAUGUCAUACAGCCGUCCCAGAUCUAUGAGUGAGAGAAUUCAUCUAUCUUCCAUAUUUUUAUUCAUUUUUUGGUGCCUAAACAUAUUAUAUGACCGCUGCUUACAUUAAUGAGGCUGGAUCUUUCUUACUCUACCUAUUGAAACACUAAUAGCCUCUGGAAACAGAUCCCCAAAUCAUGUUUUACUAGCUACCUGAGAAUCCCUUAGCUCAUUCUAGUUGAUAUACUUUUGACAGUAUAGUGACUCAAUCCAAUUCUACUGGAAAAACCAUACUGUAGGAAAACAGCAGCACACAUCUUCAAUGGUGCAUCCAUUGUGACCUUGGAAAUCCCACAAAGUUGUGUCAAUACAUGACUAUGUGAGAGUCUUGUACAGCUCUAUCGAGAGUUGGGGAGAUGGACACACAAUUCUAUCACUUGCUGAGAAACUGUUAGCAUUUGAUAGUUCCUGGGAGAGGGAGUUUUAGUAUUCUUUUGCAGUGUGAUCUCUGGAAGUCAACCACACACCCAGGAAGGCACCAAUCCCAACACCAACUGGGAAAUGCAAACUGGAACAAAAGAAGUCAUUUCAAAGUUGGGUGAGAGGAGGGGAGGAGGCAAAUACAUUCAAAACACAUUCUAUAAAAUUCUCUGAGAAUUAAUGAAAUAUUUAUUUUUUUGAGUUGAAAUAUUUUUUUAAAAGAGAGGUUCUUGCACAGAACUGAUUUAUACUUUCAAGUAUGUUGACAACAAAUGAACUUAAUAGAUGGAUAUUUUCUAAGUAGAGUUAGAGACCUUAAUUGAUUAGCAAUCUGUCUGACUGGGUCUCAAGCUCUUCUGUGUGUUCCCAAACAGAUUUCUACCUGGAAGUAAAGCAGGGUGAGGCCUGUAUUUGUUAAAUAAUAACAUAAACCUGUUUAUGUUGAUAAUUCUAUUCAAGUUACUGCAUAUAGAGUUUGUAUAGAUCAGACAGAGCUGACAGGACACACUGCUCCUGGUGGUGCAGCCAGUCAAGGCCCCGUGAAAGAGCUUAAACCCUAAUUCUACUUUUGCUCUAGCAGUAACAUUUUUGAGAUUGAAUGGCCUGGUGUUGUUUGGAAUUGCUUGGUUUUACUUUCUCUGGCAAAGAAAAUUUUAGAUGAUAUGUUGUUUAUAAAAUGGAUAUAUUAGAGGAUAAAUUUUCAUUUGAAUAUUUACCCUUCAAAAUAAGCAUAUUCAGGAUGAAAGCAGCUUUAGAGUAGGCCAAAUAAUUAACAUAGGAGAAUGUUCUGGAAGGAAGAAGUUUUGCCUUUGUGUUGGCUUACAGACCUUCUCUGAAUCCCUGACCUUUGUAUUAGGAAUUGGAAACCUUUGAUAUUUCAAUUUGUUGAGUCAAGUUUAAGGGGUAUCUGCCAUAACCUCAUUUUAUUAUUAACCACCAUGACCUCUAUAGAAAAAUGUUGAAACCACCUUCUGAAAUUCUAGGUUAUGGGUAAGGUUAAGUAUAGAUAAAAAGCAAAACGAAAAGGGCCAUUCAGCAUUCACCAAAUUUGCAGUCUCAGGGCUUGAGAGAGGGCCAAGAGAGAGCUAAGGCAAGUCUGUGCCAACUGGGCGACCAUGCUCAUUCAGUUAUACACUGGAGUUGACAUUUAAAAACAUUGAAAGAGAAGAUGAGAACAAUUAAUGAUUGACUACCUAAUAGGACUAGUUGACCCAGUGACUAAAUAACCAAUUGGAUUCAUUUCUGGAAGAAAUCCAGCAUUUGAUAAUUUUCUAAAACUUUUGCUAAGACUUGACUUUGUAAAGUAGGUCAUCCCUUGGACCCCUCAUGGACUAUGACUCCUUCCUAGAAGGAGCACUCUGGUCUGCAUGGCACAGGUGGUCUCCUCUAUGGACACAUGGGACCCCAUUAAAUGCCACAGACUCCCUUAUUUUGUCGUAUAACUACAGAGUGUCCCCCACAACUCAUGUGCUAGGGUUUUGGCACUAUUUUGGGCAUGCUGGAAGCUUUAGUAGGAGGGGCCUUGCUAGAAAGAGCAGGGUACCUUGGCAUAGCUUUGAAGGAUGUAGCUUCUGGGCUCCUUCCUCUUUUCUCUGCUUCCAGUCACCAUUAGGUGGGCAACCUUGUCCUCUACAAAUUUUUAUGACGUUCUGCCUUACCCGGGCACAGAGAUGGCACAGUCAUCCAACCACAGACUGAUACUUUCAAACAGUGAGUCCAGAUUAAUCUUUCCUACUUUUUUACCCUCAGAUAUUGAGUCACAGCAACAAGAAGUCUAGCUUCCACAUUUCCUGGUAUUUGUUUACUUCAGAGAAAACACUCUGUAUGUUGAGUCUCUUAGUCCAUGACAACCUGUUGAACAAAAUCUUUGUGUCUGGACAAGGUAGUCCAUGGUAAAACCAUAAAGGAAGUGUUUUUAACUUGUUAUCCUCUUUUUUUUUUUUUUAAUGCAGACUUGACACUGGCUACUUCCUAUGCCGGCUUCCUAGGGUACUCAAUCUGAAAGCCCCAACUUCUCACUGAGGAAUGAACGGCUGUCCUGCCAAGGGUGGCAUGCUGCAGGCCUUUCCCAUACACUUCUAUCCCUUUGAAAAACAGACCUGCUUGAUGUCAGAUGCUCAGUGCUCUUAAUCUUAGGUCAUAAUGAGUGGUUACCAUGCGCAGCAGGUGGGCAUUAGAUUGCUUAUAUUUUUUAUCUAAUUUGAAAAAAGAAUGUGUUAGCCAUGAAGCUGGAACAAAAAGAGUCUCAACGACCACAUAGAGAGGCCUUGGAGCCCUUUAUUUUACGCACCUUACACAAACGCCUGCACUGCAAACUCAAAACUCCUUUAGUUUUCUAUUUUUUUUCUUCUGAGAUCAAGUCUAAUGGGUCCCAGACUGGCCUCAAAGUCUCUAUGUAGAAUCCAAACCUUGACUCCUUGUCCUCUUGUCUCUAUCUUCAAAGCUCUGAUUUUACAGCAAAGGUGCCACCAUGUUUCCUUACCCUUAAAACAUUUUGGACAGUUACAGAUUAAAUACUAGGGGAGUUUUCAAAAGAAUAAUGAAAAAGAAGUAUAGUAGUCGCUACUUGCUCGUGGGGGUUACUUUCUAAGAAACCCCCUAGAUACCCACAAUCUUGGAAAGAACAAAAUCCUUUGUGUACUAUUUUCCCAUACACACAUUCAUAUGAUAAAAUUUAACCAUGAAUUUGGAAUAGGAACUCAUUAACAAUAAUAAUAGCAAAAGAGAAUAACUGAGAAAUAUAGUAGAACAAAUUUAAUAAGGUUGUUUUUCAUACACAUAGUCAAGGCGAACAUUAAUGUUUUUUCUUUUUUAGCUUGACUUUGACAGAGGAGAAGUGGCCACUCAUUAUUUUGUUUGUGUGGCAGAGUCUUCAGGACUGGCUGUGUCCUGGGGACUAUGCAUGACUUCCCUGUUAUUUCAGUUGAUUUUAAGAUAAGGGGAAAUCUACUUGAUUGAAAAGUCAGGACACAGAAAUCCCAGGAAGGGAUAUCUUUCCUAAUGUCAGAGAGCUGGUGACUAGUAAGAUAGGACGCAGACCCAGCUUUGUAUAUUUGGGUAGGGUGAGGCUGAUUUUUAAGAAGAUCAACAUCUUUAACUAUUUACUCUAAACAUGGGUCUUAAUUGCCACAUCUCCUCCACUCCCCCUUAUCAUCUACAUCUUUAAUUUGCGUUUAUGGCUAACUGAAAAUCCAACUUCUUGAAGGAAAAUGCAUGAUUAUCUUACUUAAAAAUUUCUUCAGGCUAAUGUCUCACUGGCCUAUAGGAAAAUAUUUCAGAAUGCUUAUCUUUAGCACAUUGCUUGCUUAUUUAAAAAGAAAAUGACUAUGUCUAGGUGCUUUGUCAUAUUUCUCUUCUGAAAUAUAUAAUGAUCUGCCUCCAUGUGGAUGCUCUGGAAAUGUGGAUCCCCAAAUACUUUGGAUCUCUCCCUUUCUCACACUAUUUUCCUCUAUCUGCUUUUCCGGGUGCCAUUUUAGCCUGAAAUAAAAAUGUAGUGGAGAUUGCAUCAUCUCCGAGGCCUUUUGGAAUAGAAAUAAUGUUUUCUGGUCUCUGGAGAGUUUAAAAGACACGAGUAAUUUUUUUUUCUUCUUCUUCUACUACAUUCAAGGCCAGAAAUAUGGAAGCAAACAGUCUAGAGUUGUGAAAAAUCGGUUGUAAAGGUGGAAAAAUCCUAGGGAGGUACAGAGUCUUUAAAAGGCAUGAGGGAAACAGUAUCCAAUUUAGAUCAACCUCCUGUCUCUUCUUUUUAUAUCCCUUCUGUGAACUCAGGAAAAUGAGCUUUGGAUUUAAUUGUAGUGUGGGUGUGUGCCUGUUUAGAUGUGCAAUGAGAGAUCUCCCCAAUUUUGUACAUCAGUAUUUCCUACAACACCCUGAAGGACUCAGUGCUUCCUGGAAUGUCCCAACCUGCUCCCUGGAAGCUCGCUUCCCCUAGUAGCCUCAGAUUCACCCGAUACUUACAGAGAAUGGUUUGAUUCCCCGCUGGUGCCCUAGGCACAACAAUGAAUUUUUCUCGGUGGGAGUGUCAAGACACAUGACUUUUGAAACUGUUGAGAAGGUAGGGAAGCUUUUAAAAACAUGCUUUUCUUUGGAAAGAAAACUCAAGAUCAGAGUCCACACCAUGUCUUAACACCUUUCCACCCACUCUCACUUCUGCUAGACCCUGAGAAGGUCUUUGGAUGCUUAGAGACAAAUUGACUGAAAUAAGCUCCAGGAUCUCUGUUGUCUCCCCGUAGCUGAAGCACUCACAGAUGGCAGAAGAGAAAGCCACACUGAUUUUCGGAUGCUUAUGUCCAAGGUGCUGUUCCUCUACUUCUGGAAUGAAUGUAAUGAACGAGAAGGUCUCCAGCCCUUUCCACUCUUCAUCCUGCUAUCCCUCAGGGUGGAAGUUUCGAGACAGAAGCCUCAUCCAGAAGUGCUCAGAAAUUAGGAAAGUCAUCAGGGUUAGUAAGAUGAAAUUGUUCUUCUCCCUGUUUAUGUUUCAGUGAACGUGACUGAUAGAAACUCACUCCUGACAGGGCCAGCAAAGAUGCUGUGUCAAAAAGCCAGCACAUGGUCCUCACUGGUCAUCUCAGGAAGAAGUUCAUACCAGGGCACUGCAGUGACUGGCUUUAUGUGGAUUCUGGAGAUGCAAGUCUAGGCCCUCAUCUUUGUGCAGCAAGUGCUUUACUCACAGGUCCACCCCAUGAGGUUUCCCUGUUGUUUGCUUUUCCCCAUUCUUUAUCUGAGAUUCUAUCUAAACUGUAGCUGUUGGGAGGGGCAAGCUUAACUCUUUUUAAUUUUCCUAGCUUAUACCCUUACAAGCUCCAUUUAAGGCUCUUCACAAUUUCACUAGCACAGAGAUACUCCUGAAGGAAACAUUUUAAAUCACUGACUUACAUUUUCAAAAGUAUUUAUUGAGGGCCCACUGUUGUAGGGUACUGUGUAGAUUCUUUGUGUGCAGUCGUGCUUCAUAUGAACUGUUGAGUUUAUAUACUAGCAAGAAUAUGGCAAAUAGAUCUAAUUAAUGAGCACAAGAUAGAAGGCAUUAGAAAACUAUCCAGCAAUUUUAAAAGGUGGGAGCUGCAGGAGGAGAAGCAGGCAUUGGAGGUAGCUGGCUGUGUGCAGUAUGAGACAGUGUUCAAGGGAAGACCUCAUGGACAGAGUGACAGAGGUGCAGAGCAGUCUCUGGGGAUGGGGGUGCACUUGCUUUCUUUGAAAAUGGCCUCUUUAAUUCCUUGGUAAAAGGAUCUCCUGAUGCAGCCAUGAGACUAAUAAUCCCAAAUGCACUAAGAAAAUUUUCUUCCAAGGAGGCUUGCCUCCUGGGUCAUGUUUUAAUACUGUUUUGCCAAUCCAAUUUGUGAAUUGGUUCACUGGUCUUAAGUUUAAAAUGUAGGUCAUCUGGAAGUCUAGCAGUUGGGUCAUGGUUCAGUAACUUUCUUAAGCCUCUGUUGUGGUACUGAAAGUGAAUGAAGGCAGUGUUCCAAAAAAGGAAAAAAAAAAAAAAAACAAAGGGAAAAAAACCCAAACAGAUGGCUGUGUCCUUUAUCAUUGUGGCUAUUUGUACACAGAUAGAAUGCUCUAUGUCUUUCAGCUCUGUGUUUUGAAUUACUCACGGUAAAGAUAUUUUUGAGCACCUAUAUUGCAUACACUUAUAGAUGUGUACAAAGAUUUGAAAGUCAUAGGCCUUAGGGUGAGUUCAUGUCUAGAGUAAGUAGAUACUGGUUAUAUUUAUUUCUGGUGUGCAGUUAAAUGUGACCUGUGAGACAGAAAUCCAAUGUCAUGAAAAUAAGAGAACCAAGCAAAAUAAAUGGGAGGUCCAGAAGAGACACUGUGAAGAAGAAGGUGCCUGACAAAGUUUUCAGGGGUUGGGAUGGGGGCCAGAUCUUCAGAAAAGACAGCUGGGAGGACAUUCUCAGAAGCCAAAAGAGGGACAGAAGAACAGGUAUGAACAGUUGUCCAGAGGCACUUCAGAGGUAACAGUGAGUCUAAGUGCACAUCCUGGAAGCAUGGCCAUCGUUCCCAGGGAGAAAUGUUCCCAGCAUGGAGGCUGCUAUGCCACAUUUCUCCUGUGCUCUAGUAUCAAUUCUGGUAGGUAGGGCAGCAGAGAGAAAGGUUCUGUUGCUGUGUGGGAGAACUGAUCACAAUAUUCUUCUGAACUAGAUUUAUGUUCUUUACUUGAAGAUUCCCGUUCUGUUCCUUACUGGCAUGAAACCUCCUUCCCACAGUGUUCACCCGACCCUUAUUAAAAUGAGAAAAUCUGCAAAGAUGCAUUGCUAUCCACUCUCCCAGUAUGAAGCCUACCACCUCCCAUGCCUCCUUGAUGACACGCUAGGACUGUUACAUUUUAUCCUAGAAUUGUGGUCUAACCUUUCUCUUAAAAAUUAUUUCUAAAGCAUUUUAUACAUUUUUAAUUAAAAUAGAAUUAUAUCACCUUCUCCCUUCACUUCCUCCCUCUAGCCCCUUCCCUGUACCCUCUCUCCAACCCUCUCUAUGACUCCUCUCCCAUCAAAUUGAUUACUAUUGUUUUACACACAUACACACACACACAAAUAAAAUCUGCUGACUCCGUUUUUGUUGUUUGUGUGUACAUGGUUUUAGAACUCAACAUUUUUUUUUGUAUUGGACAACUAAUUAGGGGCCACAUGCCUGGGAGGGUCUAACUCUUUAUCUCUCAGCAGUAACUGGUUGGUUAUAGUUCCUUGUCAAGGGUGUGACCCCAUGAGAUUUUCCUCUUAUAGUGUUAGCAUGUCUAUUACACUGCCUUGGUGCAGGUCUUGUUUAUGCAGCCAUUUCUUUGAGAGACUGUCCCACAAAAGACUCCCUGGUAUUCUGGCUUUUAUAAUCUUUCUGACCGCUCUUUCAUGGUGUUCCCUGAGUCAUAAAUGUGGGAGCUGUGAUGUCUAUGUAUUCACUGGGCUGGGUUCCCAUGAUCCAUUAAUCUCUGUGUUGUGUUCAGUUUUGGUUUUCUGUGAUGGUCUGCAUUUGGUGCAAAGAGAAGCUUCAUUGAUGGGGGGGGGGUGAGUCCACACUAUCUGUGGUAUAAGGACAAGAUUUAGAUUGCAGUAAGGAAUUAUGCUGGUCUAGCAAACUGGUGGUUGUUACGAUAAAUCUUUCUGCCAAAAGCCGCUGAGCCCCACCGCCACGUGUAAGCUUUAUGGCAGCCGCCUGCCCAAGUUAGGCCCAAAUGAAUACACAGAGAGACUUGUAUUAGUUACAAUGCUGCUUGGCCAAUGACUAGGAUUCUCAUCUGUUAGCUCAGUAUCAAUCAUCAUACAUCUAUAUAUUUUAUAAGACUUAUCUUAUCGGACGCCUUAUUGGCGCCCCUCCUAGCUGGUGGAUCACAUCUUGCCGCUGGAGCAGGAGCCGAGGGGAAAGAGAGCAACACUUCCUUUUUCCUCUUCUUAAAUAUGAGUCUCCUUGCUAUGUCACUUCCUGUCUGGAACACCACUUCUCUACUACAUUUCCCAGAAUCCUCUUUGACUCCUAGUCCAGCCUAACCUGCUGUCUCAUUGGCCAAGCAAGUACUUUAUUUAUAAACAUACACAGAAG